rnacentral:rRNA from 1 species
UACGAAGGGGGCUAGCGUUGUUCGGAAUCACUGGGCGUAAAGCGCACGUAGGCGGAUUGAUAAGUCAGGGGUGAAAUCCCGGAGCUCAACUUCGGAAUUGCCUUUGAUACUGUCUGUCUUGAGUCCGGGAGAGGUGAGUGGAAUUCCUAGUGUAGAGGUGAAAUUCGUAGAUAUUAGGAAGAACACCAGUGGCGAAGGCGGCUCACUGGCCCGGUACUGACGCUCAUGUGCGAAAGCGUGGGGAGCAAACAGG